GGAAGUGGAACUGCUGGAUCAUAUAGCACAUCUAUUUUUAAUUUUGAGGAAAAUCUGUUUACUGUUCUCCAUAGUGGCUGAACCAGUUUACAAUCCCAACAACAGUGCACAAUAGUUCCUUUCCUCCACAUCCUCACCAACACCUGUUAGCUCUUGUCUUCUUAUGACAGCCGUUCGUACAGGCAUGAGGUGACAGCUCAUUGUGGAUUUGGUUUGCACUUCCCUGAUGAUUAGUGAUGCUUCUUGCAGGGCCUGUUCUACCCGAUGUGGCAAAAGUGGGCACCAACUCACGCUGCUUUGUUACUGCAGUGCGUGGCUGGAAGCUUGGGUCUACACUGGGCCACCCUAACACCAGGCCAGGACGGUUCUGUUGUAAACCAGUGACUUCCUUCUAACGGCUCAGACAGUCAUGAACAAACGCGACAUGAAAGGCCAGCACAAGAGCUCAGGUUUUUUCAUCUUAUGUCAGAAUUCUCGGUUGCAAGGAGUAGAAACCCAACUGAAACUAACUUUGGCCAAAGAAACAUACUCUAUUGAUUCAUACUACUGAAAAUCAUGAGGAUGUAUGAUUUCAAGUCAAGCUGGAUCCAGGAGCUCAAAUGAUGUCAUCAAACGUCUAUCUUUCUACAUCUCUGACUUCUGACUUCCUCUUUUGGAAUCAUUUCAGAGAUCUUUCCUUCACGUUGCACCAAAGAUGGCCAGCAACAAUU
rnacentral:lncRNA from 1 species